GAGUCUUUUCUGUCAUUGCCUUCAAUUUGCAGCCGAUCGCCAGUGCGGAGGUCUAGGACAUGACUACUCAACUCAUCCAAAUUGCUGGAAGGAAGAAGCUUAGUGGACUGGUUUCAUAGGUUUUUAGCUGUUGUAGUUGAAGUCUUUUGGCUUGGUGUUUAUUAGUUUCCUGGUUUUGAGUUGUUUGAAUGAUUAUUAUAUUGGCUAAACCGGUUGCUGGACGUAUGUUGUAAAGUACCUAAUCCAUGAAUGACCAUUGGCAUAUUAUA
rnacentral:lncRNA from 1 species